UACGGGGGGGGCAAGCGUUGUUCGGAAUUAUUGGGCGUAAAGGGCGCGUAGGCGGCCUGGCAAGUGGAAGGUGAAAUCCCUCGGCUUAACCGAGGAACUGCCCUCCAAACUGCUUGGCUUGAGACCAGGAGAGGUGAGUGGAAUUCCCAGUGUAGCAGUGAAAUGCGUAGAGAUCGGGAGGAACAUCUGUGGCGAAGGCGACUGCCUGGACCAGCACUGACACUGAGGCACGAAAGCGUGGGGAGCAAACAGG
rnacentral:rRNA from 1 species